rnacentral:piRNA from 1 species
UACUCAUUGGAUGUGCGUUCU